CUGGGACUGGGAUUCAUCAGCAAAAAAAAACAAUAGAAAAUGGGAAUGGGAUUAAGAUUUGAGCAGGACAGCCACUGAGAUGAUGGGAUUUGUGCUCUGGGACAAUGGGAUUUAGUCAAAAUUUGGGCUGGGAAAUGGGAAUACGACCCCCCUUCAGGACCCUCUUUAAUGGGUUGACCAGAUAUAUUUAACUCUGCCUAACUAGCCAGCCG